rnacentral:rRNA from 1 species
AUGCCCGGAUAUUCGGCACACCUUCAUCAAUGGGAUAGGAGUAGCAACAGGUGUUGCCUAGAUGAUGGCUUCAGGAUGACUGAUGUAUUACUUGUCAUGCUUAAUUACGAAAAUGAAGCAUUAGUCAUGCUUAAUUACGAAAAAAGACUUGUCGUUGUGACUUACUAUAUCCACUUCGAAGGUCUCAUCCAGCUUGAUGUUGAAGCGCCUAUCAUCAACAAGGAAAUUUCUGUCGCACUAUCCGUGCUGGUCUUCACAAUAUUCGCACAUAAUGAAAUCUUUUUCAUCGUCAGACGACAUUUCCUAUGUUCAUAUAGGUGA